ensembl:lncRNA LINC03011 long intergenic non-protein coding RNA 3011
AGAACCAAUCGGAACUCGAGGCGCAGCGGCUGGGUAUUCCAGGAGAGCGCAUGCGCAGACGCAUGGCCACAGACUGCCGGUCAGUGUCAGCAGGCGGUGGGUUAGGGUCCGCAGGCCCAGACCAGGCCGCCGACACCAAUAAGCUACAAGGAGGAGCUUUACCGCUGCCUGUACUACUACUGCCUGCGCUACUUCCCAGCCUGCGGCGUAGGGCGCAGCAAGGGCCUGACGCUUAGCGAGCAGGCGCUGCGCACCAAGCGGCUGUCGCCUGGAGGGCACGUUCAGGCAGAAGCUCCUCAGUGGCCACAAGUCCGCUAGCUCCGGCUACAGCCCUUGCCGCACACUCGCGUCACCUGAGCCUGUGAUGCCGAAGGACCUGUUCAAAGUAUUUUCUGUAACUCCAACUGUAACUUGGUUCUAGGAGGAGAGAAUCCAUGUUUGGUCAACAGAACUUUUCGCCGCCACUUAAGUUUACUGCUUCAAUAUCUUUUCCUUACUAAUUGAUUGUUAAUUAAGUAGUGUCCAAGUGAGUUAGCCUUUUUAGGGUUGAUUAAUUAAAAGAGCAGCAAGAAUGGCAUUUUAACUCUUCUGGUUUUUGGGGUUUUUUUUUCAGUUACUAUGAUAACUCUUUUCAAGUCCACAAAUGAUUUGUUCUUAGCUGUAAAGAAGAGGUCAGAAAUGUAAGUGGGGAGAGAACAAAGAUAGGAAUAUGUGUAAGAUUUCUACCUAAAUGUUGGCAGGGCACGGUAGCUUAUGUCUGUAAUCCCAGCACUUUGGGAGACCUAGGUGGUCGAUCGCCUGGAGUCAGAAGUUCGAGACCAGCCUGGCAAACAUGGCAAAACCCCAUCUCUACUAAAAAUACAAAAA